ensembl:lncRNA
CACACAUCAUAAAAAGAAGCAAUAUGGCAUUUUCUACCCAUGUGGAAAGACCAAUUAUCCUAAACUAAGCCUGAGGUUUAAUACCUCUGCAUUUCUCAAAUGGUUCUCAUGACUCUUUCACUAUAAUUCUGCUGCUUUAUUUUUUCUUGUACUGAGAAAAGAGAACUAACUAAGGUCCUAUUUUUGUUCCCUUUUUCAUAGGUGAAGUAACUGGAGCUUAGAGAGAUUAUUUUGUCACUUUCCCGUGUCACAGCUUCCAGUGAUGGGGUUUGGCUCUGAAGCCACAGGGUGGCUGUCUGCACCUUUCAACUCAACUCUGGAUCACUGCCUCCCACCCAUCAGUCCUUCACCUCUGCCUUGUCUUCACCUCUCACAGCUGGUCGGUUGGCCAGAGUUUCUCAUCAAGGAGUACAUGCUGUUUGCUCCCCAGAUGGACAGCCUGGAUGAGCUACAAAUCCACAGAGCCUGGGACACAAGGUGGAAAUUACACUGCCAGUACUUUUAAUCUUGCACAGCUCUGCAGACUUGAAAUUGCAAGUGGCCCAUUUCCAAAUAAGCAUCUAUUGGGACAAUAUCCUAUAUCUUGUCAGAAUGAGUUCCAUUAAAUCCUCAGCUGGAAUUAGACCAAAAACUUGUAAUAAUUAUAGGCAACUUAUUAAAAAGUUGAAGCCCUAGACUGUGACAGUGAAAACACUCAAGCGACAUUAACAGUAAUUGAUAUUUCUGUGAGUUCUUCUUUUUCAAUCAGCCCUUGUUGAUGGCUAAGCAAAGAACACCCAAAUGAGAAGGUGUGAAACCAAAACACCCAGCUUCUCAGAGGGGUAAUUGUCUUUUGUUUCAUUAUAAAAAUGUAGUGUUAGAAUAGCAGUGAACGGCUAAUUCUCAGCCAGGGGGACCUGCCAGACCCAUUUUCCCCCUUGCAGAAGGAAUUCUGGUUGUUAUCAUCAUAUAUGAAUGACCUGGCCUCUCCUCAGCCUCUCCUCAGUCGUGUGGGCCCUCUUUCUCCUCUCAUCUGCUGUUCUGCCUUCUACCUUCAACAUUCAUUGCCUCCCCUACCAACUUCUGAGGGUUAAAGACAAGAGUAAUAAAGAAAUAAUUUUGAAACCUGGCCUAGCAAAUAUUUUGCUAGUAUAUUUUGGGGUUCUUUUCAAAAGUUGAAAAUAUUCAAAUAAACUUUUCUCAGCUUCGGUCACAAAGAUAACUUUACUUUCAAUUUAUCUUCAGAUGGGGAAGUUUUUAAAAGGAGCUUUAUCAAGUUAGGAGACAUUCUCCAGCUUGUUUUUCAGUGACUUUACACUGAGCAAGGAGUACACCUGAUCGUGCUUGACUUUUUAUUUCUGUGUUUCUGGGAGUGAUUCUUGGGCAACCUUAGUUUAGUUUUGUUUUGACUUUUACAACUCAGGAUGACAUGAAAAGGCAAUUUGGACUCUUGAGAGAGGAACAGUAAAACUAAAAAAAAUCUCAAAAUGUGGGUUUAUUGGAGGACAAGCCAUUCUCAAUGGCAAGUCUGAAUCAGAAGUCAUGUCUGAUAAAUGUAAUCAUAUCCCUUUUUUUUUAAAAAAAAGUAGAAAUUUCUGUGUUCAACCAAGUGCUCCAAGUAGGGGCCAAACCACAGCUGGAGUACUAGGUUGAGUUGUGGAUGUCAGAUGGCAGGAGAGACAGAUACACAUUGGAGUAGACCCAGAGUAGAGGGACAAGGAUGGUGAGGAAGUUCACAACCAAACCUCAUAGGCAAGGUCAAAAGAUAGAACUCUGGGGAGACCUCUCUUGGGUAAGAGGGAGUCACAUUAUUUUGCAUGGUUGCAGGGGACAGAGGUGUGACCCAAGGGUGGAAGGAAGGAACACCAAGGUAGAGUGUUAAGUCU